UCAGGCCAGGGAGCACAAAAUGUCAGAGUUCACUUCUAAGUGGGUGGGGUGGUGUACCCAGGAAAGGGGCCUGAUGAGGUGUCCCUGGGGGAGUGGGAGGACAGCAGAGGCGGAGACAGUGAGUGCAGGGCAGGAGUCAUGACGUCAUGCCUACUGUCCCAACUCUCCUGGCAACAGCCCAGCGCAGACUACAAUAGGGGAGGUGCUUUGUACUGCAGGGAGGCUGCGGCUGGGGGAGGAGUCUCUGAACGUGGGGCCCCAGUAUACCCAUUAGGGUCUUUAAACCAAAUGAAAGAUGCCAUAGAAAGGACCCCACAGUGCGAAAAGUCAGCGCAGAUCCUGUCCUCUCAGGAAGGACCCCAGUCCUACACUAUCAGUGACUUGCUUCCUGUCCACGCCUGGGUCACAGGCGUGUCACGGGGGUCUGCCCAUCACUCCCCAGUGUCAUGCUGCAGGAAGCAGGGCCUCUGCAUGCCUGUUCCUACGGGUGUGGACUCAGGAGCAGCUACAUCCCACCCUGGGUGAGAAAGCUCUUAAGUUCAUCUAGUAGGAAACUCCCUGGCUCCUCCUCCACCCACUCUCUCAUCACUCCUUCAGAGGAGCAGCAGCAGCAGCAGCCGCUGCAGCAGAACAACCUGACCACGACUUGCUUACCAGCUCGGCUCAGCACGUCCCCUACUAGAGAUCAUCUCCAGACAUGUGUCCUGGCUCGGCGGGACACCUGUCACAGCAUUUACGGCCUUCCUUGCUCUGUCAGCCUGGGAUUUCCUCCAGACCAGAGACAAAGGCACUGCAGUGGGACUCAGAGCCUGGAUCAGAGGACUCAGGAAAGAUGCACAGCCAGGGAACCCAGGGAGCAGGUUCCUCCAGUCUUCCCCAGGCCAGCGCUUCUCAACCUCUCUAAUGCUGCAGCCUUUUUAAUAUAGUUCUUCAAGUUGGGCUGACUCCCAACCAUAAAAUUAUUACCGUUGCUACAUCAUAACUGUAAUUUUGCUACUGUUGUGAACUGUAAAUAUUUGGUAUGCAGGAUAUCUGAUAUGUGACUUCCAAAAGGGUUGUGACCCGCAGGUUGAAUACCCUUGCCCUAGACAAACAUCGAUGACACAGCUGGAAGGCUGGGAUACAGUAGUACACUGAUAGGGCUUUUGCUGGGCAUUCACAAGGCCCUGGGUUCAAUCCCCAGGACUCAUUGCCCACCUGUCUCCCUCUUUCCCUCCCUCUCAACAUGGUUGGUGAGAAGGCUUAGCAGGGAAAGAUGCCCACAACCAAGUCUAACGACCUGAAUUUGGUUCUGGGGGUGGUGGAGGGGGGAGGACCCACAUGGUGGAAGGCCAGAAUAAUAAACUCCCAGUUGUCCUCUA